rnacentral:rRNA from 1 species
CAACCCGGGUUGCCUUAGUAACGGCGAGUGAAGCGGCAAAAGCUCAAAUUUGAAAUCUGGUACCUUCGGUGCCCGAGUUGUAAUUUGGAGAGGGCAACUUUGGGGCCGUUCCUUGUCUAUGUUCCUUGGAACAGGACGUCAUAGAGGGUGAGAAUCCCGUGUGGCGAGGAGUGCGGUUCUUUGUAAAGUGCCCUCGAAGAGUCGAGUUGUUUGGGAAUGCAGCUCUAAGUGGGUGGUAAAUUCCAUCUAAAGCUAAAUAUUGGCGAGAGACCGAUAGCGAACAAGUACAGUGAUGGAAAGAUGAAAAGAACUUUGAAAAGAGAGUGAAAAAGUACGUGAAAUUGUUGAAAGGGAAGGGCAUUUGAUCAGACAUGGUGUUUUGUGCCCUCUGCUCCUUGUGGGUAGGGGAAUCUCGCAUUUCACUGGGCCAGCAUCAGUUUUGGUGGCAGGAUAAAUCCAUAGGAAUGUAGCUUGCCUCGGUAAGUAUUAUAGCCUGUUGGGAAUACUGCCAGCUGGGACUGAGGACUGCGACGUAAGUCAAGGAUGCUGGCAUAAUGGUUAUAUGCCGCCCGUCUUGAAACACGGGACCA